GAAGUUGUGCUCUCCCAAAGAUCAAAAGCAAAGUCUCGAGGUUGGAAGUCGUUGGUGUGUCUUUUGGUUGCAGUAGGUUUCUCUCGUGUCACUUGGGUAGAGAAGAAGGAAGACAGCCAACAGCACUGUCCUUGCACUUGAUCUCCCUGUAUGUCAAACAUGGAACCAGGAUGGAGUUACAACUACGAGGUUCUGCAGAGGGGUUCAUGACCCAGGGAUGUGCCCUGAAAUGAUGAUAUAUUAGCCACCAAACGUAUUGUUUUGAAGACUUGUCAUAGUGUUUCUAUGGCUGUGAAGAGACAGCAUGACCACAGCAACGCUUACAAAGUAAAACAUUUAAUUCAGGAUGGCUUACAGUUCAGAGGGUUAGUCCGUUAUUGCCAUGGUGGGAAGCACGGCAGUGCAUAGGUAGACAUAUUCUGGGACAGACUCUAUCCCUCUGGAACCACAAACCAAGCUAAAACCUUUCUCCUUUAAGUUACCUUUGUCAGGGUAUUUCAUCAGCACAGCAGAAAACAGACAAGUACAUCAUAUUUACGUGGGGGGAAUCCCUGGUAUGGUGGUGUGCUCAGUUCUAGUGUUGAGGACGUAGGGAAGAGUAAACCCUUGGGGCUUACUAACUAGCCAGCGUAGCCUAUAGCAGCGAGACACCCUGUCUCCACAAAACAAAACAAAACAAAACAAAACAAAACAAAACAAAACAAAACAAAACAAAACAAAACCAAGGUGCAUAGCAGCUAAGAAUGACCCCCGAAGUUUUCCUUGGGCCUCCUUGAGCACAUGACACACAUGCCCAGUUACUUGCAUACUCAUGUGCCCUGACACAUGAACUCAUAUCUCUAUGUAUAUAGAUGUAGACACAUCCUCACAGAAUAGCCAAAAGCAAGCUCCAUGGUAAAUGAGUUUGAAAUGUAAAUGGAGUUUUAAAAAAAAAAAUGCAACCACUUUAUAAUUUCUUACCUUGGAAGCAGACUCUACAUAGUUAAUCGGUUGCCUGCCGAGAAGAGGCAUAGAGAAUGAACUCUCUGGAACCAAAGCGUCCAUGUAAGAAUGUUUAUCUUUCCUAGGUCCAAAUUUCUGCAGCUUCACUUAGUCUAACCACGAAAUACUUGUAUAAGGGACACGCUGAUGAGCACAGCAACAUCACUGGAGUUUUAAGUAGGUUAAGACGGGAACAUCCCUUUAUAAAGCCUUUGAAGGACUGCAUGUUUAAAGCUUGCCGCCAUAGCCACACACUUUUUUUUAAAGCCAGAACCUUGCCCAUCUGCGCGCACAGAAAUAUUAAGUUAAUCACCCAAGAAGAGUUUUUUUUUGAAAGCACUCUUAAGAUAUCUUUCAGUCUUAGACGUAAGUCAGUCUUCAGGGAAAGAAAGGGCAAAUGAAGCCUGUUCAUCUACUCCAGGAGAGCAUUAACAGAAAUGCCUUGCUGCAUCCCAAUUAAUAGGAGGUUCAAAGGCCAGGGAGAUGGUUCAGUACGUAAGGGCACUUCCUGUCAGGCCUAAAGGACCCGAGUUUGAUGCCCAGAAGCCAUGUGGUAGAAGGGAGAAGGAGACAACUGAUUCUUGAGAGUUGUCUACUGAUUUUCACAUAUGGGCACUGGGUUCUCUCUCUCUCUCUCUCUGUAGCUGGUGGGGUGGGGGGUGGGGUGGGCAGGAGCUGGCCCUGAAUUGAAAUAGUGCGGGAGAGAAAGGGAAGCAGCAGGCCUACCUUAACGCUUUCCAGCCUCUCAGGGAGUCCAAGUCAGUGAUUAGGGAAACCAUUGCCUGAGAGCUGCGGAAAGAUGACAAACCGGAGAGCAGAGGUGCCUGACAGGGCGACAGGGACGCAGGCAGGCAGAGGCGGCUCUGGGCUCAGGCUGGAGCAGCAGCAGCGCCCAGCAGCUCGGGCUCUUCCUCCUUCCAGGACUGAUAAGCGCUUGUCCU
ensembl:lincRNA